rnacentral:lncRNA from 1 species
CGCCCCUACCCUGGUAGAGGACUGAAGAGACACUCUUGGAAAGGGUUUGGAACCAAGUAUUCUCUGGACUCAGGGACACCAGACAACUCUUGGGCCCGGACUGGGGGACAUCUCAGAAAUGAGGUUUCAGUGAAAGCCUGCACACCAACAAUAAGAAUCCCAGACCCUUCUCCAGUUGGCUCCCAGGAUACUGGUAGAGAAGUUUAUAUUUUGCAGGCAGAAGAUGGAAGGUUUUCUCUCCAAGGGAAAUGAUGAGCCCAAGAAGAAAAAGACACUGGAGGGAAGCUGCAACAUGAAAGUAAGAGAGACACCAAACAACUUGAAAGGAAAUUUGCCAUAAAGACAUAAUCAAUACAGAGAGGGGGGAAAAUACUUCCGAAAUAGUCUUAGUGAGAUAAGAGAACAUUAAUCCUUAAAACAAGAACAGGAAACUAUAAAAAUAAUAUUCAGUAAGAAAAAUAUUUUAUACAUUAAAUUAUGAUGGCAGAAAAUUCAAAAACAUAUGAAUGGAAGCUAUGAAAAAUAAGCUUAGUAAAUCUCUCAGAAAGUAGAAUAAGAAGGUAGAGAUGGCCAACAUUAAAGGACAUGAAAUUAGAAAAUCAACCCAGAGUGCUCAAUGUCUAAAUAUUAGGACUUCUGAAAGGACAGAGAAAAAAGGGGAAAUUUAAUAAAGGCACUUGGAUAUUGAUUUCUACCCUGAGAAAUACCAUCAAGCAUCCAUCCCAUUAAAUUAAAAGAUGCCUUCACAUGUUUAUAUAAUUUUGACAUUAUUUUUGAAAUACACACCAGGGAAAAAAAAAAGAGUCCUAGAAAUGUCCGGGGAAAAAAUAAACAGCCCAUAUGCAAAGAGACCUGGAAUAGAAGUAGUAACUGACUUUUCCAAAGCAACCGUGGAAGCUGGACGACAAUAAAAAAAUUCCUUCAGGGAUCUAUGGAAAAUUAUUUCUAACCUAGAAUUUUAAUUCAGCCAAAUUAUUAAUGGAGUGUGAGGGUAGCAUAAAAAUAUUUUCAGUUGGUACAAAUAUAUUCAUGGGAUCUUAGUAUGCUUCUAAAGGCUGUGCUUCACCAAAUAUGAAAUAAACCAAAAGAGAAGAAGACACAAGAUUCAGUGAAAAAUUGCACUCGCAAUUUCCUGGAGGAAGGCCCAAGGAGGACUCAGGAGGACCACUGCACAUCAGGCCCCGAGACCCAGUGGUCUGCACUGGGACAGAAUGACUUUCUGAGGGAAACAACUGAAGAGAUAGAUUUGCCGAUGUAUUGAGAAGACUUUACACUUGCAUGCAUAGUUUGUUGAUUAAUGAGAAGCUUACAGAAAAAUAAAUGAAACAAUAUGUCAAAGUAGAGGAAAUAGGUAUUAAUAAUUCCAAGGGAAGCAGAAAUUUACCAGGAAUUUUGACUCUUUGUGAGUCAAUGGUGAAAAAUGUUUUACGUGAACUCUGAUCAAUUCUAUGGCCAAAGUCUUGAGUUUUGAUUCCAUCAGAAUUCUGUGAAAUAUGGAGAUUUGUAUAGAAGGGGAGUCAAUCCCUGGAAAUUGCAUACGUUUCAAGUAUUGGAAGACAGUCUCGGCAUUCAGGAAGCUAGCUGGCCCUUUGUCAGAAACAGAGAAGACAGCCAUUUAUGCUAGAAGAGUGGCAGGACCAACUAAACACAUGUGCCUCUAAUUUGUAAACUGAGUGUCUAUAAAUUAAGAAUGUUUUAAAUCUGUUUUAACAGGCAUCUUCUCAAGUAUCCUGGAUCACCUUUUUUGUUUGUUUUUUUAGGCAGGUACUCAUUCCGUCACCCAGGCUGGAGUGCAGUGGUGCAAUCAUGGCUCACUGCAGCCUGACCUCCUAGGCUCAAGCAGAUCCUUCUACCUCAGCUUCCUGAGUAGCUGAGACCACAGAACUGUCAAGGAAUAGCAGCACACUCACAACAAACACCCUUCGAAGAAAACCCAGGAAGACCCAUGCAAUAGAUUCCUGGGACUCAACUUAGAAGGCAUGGUGGUACUCUUCACUAUUUGUCUGCAGUGAUUUGUGGAAUAAAUCUCUCACUUUUCCUAA